rnacentral:rRNA from 1 species
CAGUAGCCACGGUAAUACGGAGGGUGCAAGCGUUAAUCGGAAUUACUGGGCGUAAAGCGCACGCAGGCGGUCUGACAAGUCAGAUGUGAAAUCCCCGGGCUUAACCUGGGAACUGCAUUUGAAACUGUCAGGCUGGAGUCUUGUAGAGGGGGGUGGAAUUCCAGGUGUAGCGGUGAAAUGCGUAGAGAUCUGGAGGAAUACCGGUGGCGAAGGCGGCCCCCUGGACAAAGACUGACGCUCAGGUGCGAAAGCGUGGGGAGCAAACAGGAUUAGAUACCCUUGUAGUCCCUGUCUCUUAUAC